AUUGAACGCUGGCGGCAGGCCUAACACAUGCAAGUCGAACGAGUGGCGGACGUGUGUGAUAUGUCUGGGAAACUGCCUGAUGGAGGGGGAUCACUACUGGAAACGGUAGCUCAUACCGCAUAACAUCGUAUGUGCCCAGAGGGGAUUAGCUAGUAGGAGGGGUAAAGGCUCACCUAGGCGACGAUCCCUAGCUGGUCUGAGAGGAUGACCAGCCACACGGGAAAUGAGGCACGGUCCAGACUCCUACGGGAGGCAGCAGUGGGGAAUAUUGCACAAUGGGCGCAAGCCUGAUGCAGCCAUGCCGCGUGUAUGAAGAAGGCCUUCGGGUUGUAAAGUACUUUCAGCGGGGAGGCGUUACCCGCAGAAGAAGCACCGGCUAACUCCGUGCCAGCAGCCGCGGUAAUAC
rnacentral:rRNA from 1 species